rnacentral:rRNA from 1 species
GACGAACGCUGGCGGCGUGCCUAAUACAUGCAAGUUGAGCGCUGAAGGUUGGUACUUGUACCGACUGGAUGAGCAGCGAACGGGUGAGUAACGCGUGGGGAAUCUGCCUUUGAGCGGGGGACAACAUUUGGAAACGAAUGCUAAUACCGCAUAAAAACUUUAAACACAAGUUUUAAGUUUGAAAGAUGCAAUUGCAUCACUCAAAGAUGAUCCCGCGUUGUAUUAGCUAGUUGGUGAGGUAAAGGCUCACCAAGGCGAUGAUACAUAGCCGACCUGAGAGGGUGAUCGGCCACGUUGGGACUGGGACACGGCCCAAAAUCCUUCGGGAGGCAGCAGUGGGGAAUCUUCGGCCAUGGACGAAAGUCUGACCGAGCAACGCCGCGUGAGUGAAGAAGGUUUUCGGAUCGUAAAACUCUGUUGGUAGAGAAGAACGUUGGUGAGAGUGGAAAGCUCAUCAAGUGACGGUAACUACCCAGAAAGGGACGGCUAACUACGUG